UUAGAUACCCUUGUAGUCCACGCCGUAAACGAUGGAUACUAGGUGUGGGGGGACUGACCCCCUCCGUGCCGCAGCUAACGCAAUAAGUAUCCCACCUGGGGAGUACGAUCGCAAGGUUGAAACUCAAAGGAAUUGACGGGGGCCCGCACAAGCGGUGGAGUAUGUGGUUUAAUUCGAAGCAACGCGAAGAACCUUACCAGGGCUUGACAUCCUACUAACGAAACAGAGAUGUAUCAGGUGCCCUUCGGGGAAAGUAGAGACAGGUGGUGCAUGGUUGUCGUCAGCUCGUGUCGUGAGAUGUUGGGUUAAGUCCCGCAACGAGCGCAACCCUUAUUGUUAGUUGCUACGCAAGAGCACUCUAGCGAGACUGCCGUUGACAAAACGGAGGAAGGUGGGGACGACGUCAAAUCAUCAUGCCCCUUACGUCCUGNGCCACACACGUACUACAAUGGCGGCCAACAAAGAGAGGCAAGAC
rnacentral:rRNA from 1 species